rnacentral:tRNA from 1 species
UCCACAGUAGCUCAGUAGUAGAGCUAUCGGCUGUUAACCGAUCGGUCGUAGGUUCGAGUCCUACCUGUGGAGCCA